CCAAAGUACGAGAGGGGCGGGGAAGGUCCUGUUCUUCUUCGGGAAGCUAGCAGGCCAGAUCGACAAAGACGAAUAGCUAUAGACCAAAUAGCGUCGUCAAACCUCGACAGCCUAAGCUCAUCGAUCGAAUCGAGAUGUUAGCUCGCUCUUCUUCCUAGCUCCUCUACUCGCCGCCGCCGCCGCCUCCUAGCCGCCGCUGCGUCCCCGUCGUCCUAGACGUCGACGGCGGCCCCAAGUCUAAGGUAGGCUGCCUGCUCCUCGACCACUACGUGAUGGAGACGGCCGCCACGCGGCCGGACGGGUAGAGGCACGGGUAGUAGCGGCUCCAGCUGGAGAUGUUCAAGCUGGGUACCGUCGAGGGCUCUUACCGCGAGAUGCCGCUCUUCCUCACCAUGAAGAAGAGGGGCGCGCUGGCGUUCAUGGGCUUGCCCAGCGCCGGCUUGGCCAGCCGGCCGUGCCCGAUGACCUUCCGGUGGCCGCGGCUGUUCGGCCACCCGUGCGGGUUCGGGGACCGGUAGUUCUUCCGCGAGCAGAAGAUGCGGCCCUUCCGCGGGUUCCCGCUGUUCUGGUUGACCUAGUACGUGCUCAUGGCGGAGCGGCUGCAGCUGGCGAGGCGGGCGUUCUUCUUGUCGGAGUCCAACCUACUGACCCACGAAACGGCCUAGAUGUUGUUCUUUCCGCGGAGCCUCUCCGGCUCGCGGCCACUGGCCUGGCGCUCGCGCUCGGGGCCCGUGCGCCGGCAGCCGAGCGGCGGCCUCGUCUUUGACCGGGACGACGCCGGUAUGCGCGGCGUCGGCAAGAGCCUGGACCGCCGCAUGAUGCUCCACUCCGGCAGCCUGAGCUACGGCGCCCGCGUGCGCCUGAGCUCGACGAGCCUUGUGCACGACUGCCGCAGCACGCUCGCCGGCCUCCACGUCUCGGUCGGGUUCUAGAGGCUCACCCUCGCGUGCAAGCGGUGUCGGUGGGGCCCGCAGUUGGGCCGGCCGAACUACGAGCUGGGCCGCCGGCCCGAGGGGCGGCCGCUGGGCGAGGAGGUCCUGUAGGAGUACAUGACCCCGUUCGGCAAGACUCUUAGGCCGAGGCACCGACAUGCACACCAAACCGCGACCCUACUUUAGCUAGCCCCAUCGAGCCCGCUCGGCGGCCGGCCUUAGAUAGCCGUCCUCUAUGAGUAUCGGCAACCUACCUUCUAUAGUCAUCACGUGUUCCUCAGUGCCUGCCGCCGCUACUCUGCGCCCUCGGGGCCACACAAGCUCCUCCCUGCGUCUCUCAUGAGAACCACAUAUGCCUAAACUUGAUUCGACACAUAUACGCUAACUAAACCUUUAACCCAAAAAACAAAUGUAACGAAAAAAUAUGGAAACAGAACAAACCCUCUACACGUACCAUAGCCAUGGUAACCUUGUCCUUAUACAUAUGAAUAUUAAUAAGAGGGGCACGCUAGAAAAAGGUGCUUAUGUGUUGUCUACACACGUAGAAAAAUA
rnacentral:rRNA from 1 species